GAUGAACGCUGGCGGCGUGCCUAAUACAUGCAAGUCGAACGAGUGGCGAACGGGUGAGUAACACGUGGGAAACCUACCCUUCAGCGGGGGAUAACCAUCGGAAACGAUGACUAAUACCGCAUACUGAAGGUUGGUCCCGCGGUGCAUUAGCUAGACGGUAGGGUAACGGCCUACCGUGGCUUUGAUGCUUAGCCGAACUGAGAGGGUGAUCGGCAACAUUGGGACUGAGUCACGACCCGAACUCCUACGGGAGGCAGCAAUACGGAAUCUUCCACAAUGGACGCAAGUCUGACGAAGCAACUCAGCGUGUGUGCAGAAGGUCUUCGGAUCGUAAAGCACUGUUAUCAGAGAAGGGGUAACUGAUCAGAAAGCCACGGCUAACUACGUGCCAGCAGCCGCGGUAAUUC
rnacentral:rRNA from 1 species